CCUACGGGAGGCAGCAGUGGGGAAUAUUGCGCAAUGGGCGAAAGCCUGACGCAGCGACGCCGCGUGAGGGAUGAAGGUCUUCGGAUCGUAAACCUCUUUCAGCAGGGAAGAACGGUCACUGUGCUAAUCAGCAGUGAAUUGACGGUACCUGCAAAGGACGCACCGGCUAACUCCGUGCCAGCAGCCGCGGUAAUACGGAGGGUGCGAGCGUUAAUCGGAAUUACUGGGCGUAAAGGGCUCGUAGGCGGUAUGUCAAGUCAAGGGUGAAAUCCCCGCGCUCAACGUGGGAACUGCCUUUGAAACUGGCAGACUGGAGUGUGGGAGAGGAUAGUGGAAUUCCAGGUGUAGGAGUGAAAUCCGUGGAUAUCUGGAGGAACAUCAGUGGCGAAGGCGACUAUCUGGCACAUCACUGACGCUGAGGAGCGAAAGCGUGGGUAGCAAACAGGAUUAGAUACCCGUGUAGUC
rnacentral:rRNA from 1 species